rnacentral:rRNA from 1 species
GAUGAACGCUGGCGGCGUGCCUAAUACAUGCAAGUCGAGCGAACGGACGAGAAGCUUGCUUUUCUGAUGUUAGCGGCGGACGGGUGAGUAACACGUGGAUAACCUACCUAUAAGACUGGGAUAACUUCGGGAAACCGGAGCUAAUACCGGAUAAUAUUUUGAACCGCAUGGUUCAAAAGUGAAAGACGGUCUUGCUGUCACUUAUAGAUGGAUCCGCGCUGCAUUAGCUAGUUGGUAAGGUAACGGCUUACCAAGGCAACGAUGCAUAGCCGACCUGAGAGGGUGAUCGGCCACACUGGAACUGAGACACGGUCCAGACUCCUACGGGAGGCAGCAGUAGGGAAUCUUCCGCAAUGGGCGAAAGCCUGACGGAGCAACGCCGCGUGAGUGAUGAAGGUCUUCGGAUCGUAAAACUCUGUUAUUAGGGAAGAACAUAUGUGUAAGUAACUGUGCACAUCUUGACGGUACCUAAUCAGAAAGCCACGGCUAACUACGUGCCAGCAGCCGCGGUAAUACGUAGGUGGCAAGCGUUAUCCGGAAUUAUUGGGCGUAAAGCGCGCGUAGGCGGUUUUUUAAGUCUGAUGUGAAAGCCCACGGCUCAACCGUGGAGGGUCAUUGGAAACUGGAAAACUUGAGUGCAGAAGAGGAAAGUGGAAUUCCAUGUGUAGCGGUGAAAUGCGCAGAGAUGUGGAGGAACACCAGUGGCGAAGGCGACUUUCUGGUCUGUAACUGACGCUGAUGUGCGAAAGCGUGGGGAUCAAACAGGAUUAGAUACCCUGGUAGUCCACGCCGUAAACGAUGAGUGCUAAGUGUUAGGGGGUUUCCGCCCCUUAGUGCUGCAGCUAACGCAUUAAGCACUCCGCCUGGGGAGUACGACCGCAAGGUUGAAACUCAAAGGAAUUGACGGGGGCCCGCACAAGCGGUGGAGCAUGUGGUUUAAUUCGAAGCAACGCGAAGAACCUUACCAAAUCUUGACAUCCUUUGACAACUCUAGAGAUAGAGCCUUCCCCUUCGGGGGACAAAGUGACAGGUGGUGCAUGGUUGUCGUCAGCUCGUGUCGUGAGAUGUCGGGUUAAGUCCCGCAACGAGCGCAACCCUUAAGCUUAGUUGCCAUCAUUAAGUUGGGCACUCUAAGUUGACUGCCGGUGACAAACCGGAGGAAGGUGGGGAUGACGUCAAAUCAUCAUGCCCCUUAUGAUUUGGGCUACACACGUGCUACAAUGGACAAUACAAAGGGCAGCGAAACCGCGAGGUCAAGCAAAUCCCAUAAAGUUGUUCUCAGUUCGGAUUGUAGUCUGCAACUCGACUACAUGAAGCUGGAAUCGCUAGUAAUCGUAGAUCAGCAUGCUACGGUGAAUACGUUCCCGGGUCU